rnacentral:rRNA from 1 species
UACGGAGGAUGCGAGCGUUAUCCGGAUUUAUUGGGUUUAAAGGGUGCGUAGGCGGCCUGCCAAGUCAGCGGUAAAAUUGCGGGGCUCAACCCCGUACAGCCGUUGAAACUGCCGGGCUCGAGUGGGCGAGAAGUAUGCGGAAUGCGUGGUGUAGCGGUGAAAUGCAUAGAUAUCACGCAGAACCCCGAUUGCGAAGGCAGCAUACCGGCGCCCUACUGACGCUGAGGCACGAAAGUGCGGGGAUCAAACGGG